UACGUAGGGGGGCAAGCGUUUGUCCGGAAUUAUUGGGCGUAAAGCGCGCGCAGGCGGUUCUUUUAAGUCUGGUGUAUAAGUGCGGGGGCUCAACCCCGUGAGGCACCGGAAACUGGGGGAACUUGAGUGCAGAAGAGGAGAGCGGAAUUCCACGUGUAGCGGUGAAAUGCGUAGAGAUGUGGAGGAACACCGGUGGCGAAGGCGGCCCACUGGUCCGGUACUGACGCUGAGGUGCGAAAGCGUGGGGAGCAAACAGG
rnacentral:rRNA from 1 species